rnacentral:rRNA from 1 species
UGGGGAAUAUUGGACAAUGGGCGAAAGCCUGAUCCAGCCAUGCCGCGUGUGUGAAGAAGGCCUUUUGGUUGUAAAGCACUUUAAGUGGGGAGGAAAAGCUUGUGGUUAAUACCCAUAAGCCCUGACGUUACCCACAGAAUAAGCACCGGCUAACUCUGUGCCAGCAGCCGCGGUAAUACAGAGGGUGCAAGCGUUAAUCGGAAUUACUGGGCGUAAAGCGCGCGUAGGUGGUUAUUUAAGUCAGAUGUGAAAGCCCCGGGCUUAACCUGGGAACUGCAUCUGAUACUGGAUAACUAGAGUAGGUGAGAGGGGAGUAGAAUUCCAGGUGUAGCGGUGAAAUACGUAGAGAUCUGGAGGAAUACCGAUGGCGAAGGCAGCUCCCUGGCAUCAUACUGACACUGAGGUGCGAAAGCGUGGGUAGCAAACAGGAUUAGAUACCCUGGUAGUCCACGCCGUAAACGAUGUCUACCAGUCGUUGGGUCUUUUAAAGACUUAGUGACGCAGUUAACGCAAUAAGUAGACCGCCUGGGGAGUACGGCCGCAAGGUUA